GAUGAGAUCACGCCACUGCACUCCAGCCUGGGCGACAGAGCGAGACUCCAUUGCAAAAAACAAACAAACAAAAAAGUGUGAUUUCUGGGAUCUAGUUGCUCAGAAUGAUGCUGAAGUGGAAUUCUUUAAAGAUCCACUUAGGACAAAUAGUAAGUAACUCCGUGCUCAGAAGGGAUGCAGGUAGAGUAAAACUUAUGACUGUCGAAGUGAACGACCUGUUAAUUUGGGGAAAUACUGGGUUACCAGUGGACUUGGGGUGAGCUCUACAGCUAAGGAUAGGGCCCAAGUUAGAACUGGGGUAAGGAUGGGGUGGGCUUAGAAUUGGGGUGAGGGUUAGAGCUAAAGUUCAGGGGAGGCCCCAGGUUAGGAUUUGGGAUUAGAUCAGAUGGAGGGGCACACUUGGUGCUUAAGGUUGAGAAUAAACCUUAGGAAUUAGGAAUUGAGUUAGAAUUGGGGUGAGUUAGGAAUUUAGUUAGAAAUGGAGUUAAAGUCACUCUUCGGGUCACAAGUCUUUGUGACUUUAGCAACUGAAAAGUCCAUGAACCUGUGAACAAAUGGGCAGGAGCUUCUCGACCCCCUAAUAGGCACCCCAAGUUCAAUCUGCCUUUUCCCCCAAAUCCUCUUCUAGAAGCACCUGGCAGUGGCUCUGCCGGAGCUCACAACUCCAACAAGCUCAAUGUCCACCAAUCAGAUCGGAGGGACCGAGGAGUGGGCAAGCCUGCCCAGGAGGGAGAGCAUGGGACAACCAGGAUUUUCUAAAUACAAGAUUGUAUCAUCUGCAAAUAGAGAUGGUUUUACCUCUUCUUUACAUGGACAUAUGUAUGGACUGCGAGCCUUUGGAGGGUCAGAAACCAGGACACAGUGUUCAAGGUGCCAUCUUGGAAGCUAGCAGCCCUCGCUAGACUACAAACCUGCUGGUCCCUUGAUCUUGGACUUCCCACCCACCAGAACUGUGAGAAAUACAUUUUUGUUCUUUACCCAUUACCCAGUUUCAGAUAUUUUGUUAUAACACCACAAAUGGACUAAGAUAGUAUCUUACAUACAGUGAGGUGCAUAUACCUUAAGUUACAACUUUGUACUAUUGUUUUUUUGGUUUGUUUUUGAGAUGGAGUCUUGUUCUGUUGCCCAGACUGGAGUGCAGUGGCAAGAUCUUGGCUCACUGCAACCUCUG